CAGUCGCCACGGGAAUACGGAGGGAGCUAGCGUUAUUCGGAAUUACUGGGCGUAAAGCGCACGUAGGCGGCUUUGUAAGUUAGAGGUGAAAGCCUGGAGCUCAACUCCAGAAUUGCCUUUAAGACUGCAUCGCUUGAAUCCAGGAGAGGUGAGUGGAAUUCCGAGUGUAGAGGUGAAAUUCGUAGAUAUUCGGAAGAACACCAGUGGCGAAGGCGGCUCACUGGACUGGUAUUGACGCUGAGGUGCGAAAGCGUGGGGAGCAAACAGGAUUAGAUACCCCCGUAGUCCCUGUCUCUUAUAC
rnacentral:rRNA from 1 species